AGAGUUUGAUCCUGGCUCAGGAUGAACGCUGGCGGCGUGCUUAACACAUGCAAGUCGAACGAAGCACUUUUAUUUGAUUUCUUCGGAAUGAAGAUUUUAGUGACUGAGUGGCGGACGGGUGAGUAACGCGUGGGUAACCUGCCUCAUACAGGGGGAUAACAGUUAGAAAUGACUGCUAAUACCGCAUAAGACCACAGCACCGCAUGGUGCAGGGGUAAAAACUCCGGUGGUAUGAGAUGGACCCGCGUCUGAUUAGGUAGUUGGUGGGGUAACGGCCUACCAAGCCGACGAUCAGUAGCCGACCUGAGAGGGUGACCGGCCACAUUGGGACUGAGACACGGCCCAAACUCCUACGGGAGGCAGCAGUGGGGAAUAUUGCACAAUGGGGGAAACCCUGAUGCAGCGACGCCGCGUGAGCGAUGAAGUAUUUCGGUAUGUAAAGCUCUAUCAGCAGGGAAGAAAAUGACGGUACCUGACUAAGAAGCACCGGCUAAAUACGUGCCAGCAGCCGCGGUAAUACGUAUGGUGCAAGCGUUAUCCGGAUUUACUGGGUGUAAAGGGAGCGUAGACGGAGUGGCAAGUCUGAUGUGAAAACCCGGGGCUCAACCCCGGGACUGCAUUGGAAACUGUCAAUCUGGAGUACCGGAGAGGUAAGCGGAAUUCCUAGUGUAGCGGUGAAAUGCGUAGAUAUUAGGAGGAACACCAGUGGCGAAGGCGGCUUACUGGACGGUAACUGACGUUGAGGCUCGAAAGCGUGGGGAGCAAACAGGAUUAGAUACCCUGGUAGUCCACGCCGUAAAC
rnacentral:rRNA from 1 species